rnacentral:rRNA from 1 species
UACGUAGGGUGCAAGCGUUAAUCGGAAUUACUGGGCGUAAAGCGUGCGCAGGCGGUGAUGUAGACAGUUGUGAAAUCCCCGGGCUCAACCCUGGGACUGCAUCUGUGACUGCAUCGCUGGAGUGUGGCAGAGGGGGGUGGAAUUCCGCGUGUAGCAGUGAAAUGCGUAGAGGAUGCGGAGGAACACCGAUGGCGAAGGCAGCCCCCGGGCUGACCACGUGACGC